UGUAAACCCAUUUCUCAACAGGUUUUCACAGUGAUGAGUUGGGUUUUGACUAGUUGUGAUGACACAUCUAAUCCUCUCUGAUCCCAUUUUGGAGCUCCGAGCUCAUCUAUCCAUGAAAUGUGUGUUUCUGUGUGUGUGUGUGUGUGUGUGU